GACGAACGCUGGCGGCGUGCUUAACACAUGCAAGUCGAACGGAGAAUUUUAUUUCGGUAGAAUUCUUAGUGGCGAACGGGUGAGUAACGCGUAGACAACCUGCCUCUUAGAUGGGGACAACAUCGCGAAAGCGGUGCUAAUACCGAAUGAAGUGGAGCUUCCGCAUGGAAGCAUCACCAAAGGUGGCCUCUAUUUAUAAGCUACCACUGAGAGAUGGGUCUGCGUCUGAUUAGCUAGUUGGCGGGGUAAUGGCCCACCAAGGCGACGAUCAGUAGCCGGUCUGAGAGGAUGAACGGCCACAUUGGGACUGAGACACGGCCCAAACUCCUACGGGAGGCAGCAGUGGGGAAUCUUCCGCAAUGGACGAAAGUCUGACGGAGCAACGCCGCGUGAGUGAAGAAGGUUUUCGGAUCGUAAAGCUCUGUUGUUUGAGACGAAUGUGCAGACUUUGAAUAAGGGUUUGUAAUGACGGUAUUAAACGAGAAAGCCACGGCUAACUACGUGCCAGCCGCCGCCGUAA
rnacentral:rRNA from 1 species